rnacentral:lncRNA from 1 species
CUCAUCUCGCUCUUGCCUAAGGCGGUCUCAUUCAUCUCCAUGAUUCUCAGUGUCAUCUAUACGUUGGCAUCCCCAAAUUCAUAUCUCCAACCCAGAUCUCAUUUAAGCUCCAGACUCAUUUAUCGAAUCGCCUACUUGACACAUCCAUUUGGACGUCUCCCAGGCAUCUCAAUUGACAUGUCUGAAACUGAGGCCUCCCUGUCACUUGCUCCUUCUCAGUCUUCCUUGUCACAGACAAUGGCCUCACCGUCUGCCUGUGACUUCGCCUCAGCUGAAGAAUGUAAGAGGGUGAAAGGAAAAUUUCCUCCCCUACAGAUGGUGGACGAGAGCGUCAUAUUCCAGCUCAGAAGAGUCAGACCUUUGAAACAUUUCUUGGUUGGGUGAGGUUUAAGCCUGGAUUAAAAUUAGAGUUUGCAUCUACA